UACGUAGGGUGCAAGCGUUGUCCGGAAUUAUUGGGCGUAAAGAGCUCGUAGGCGGUCUGUCACGUCGGCUGUGAAAACCCGGGGCUCAACCCCGGGCCUGCAGUCGAUACGGGCAGACUAGAGUGCGGUAGGGGAGACUGGAAUUCCUGGUGUAGCGGUGAAAUGCGCAGAUAUCAGGAGGAACACCGAUGGCGAAGGCAGGUCUCUGGGCCACUACUGACGCUGAGAAGCGAAAGCGUGGGGAGCGAACAGG
rnacentral:rRNA from 1 species